rnacentral:tRNA from 1 species
GAGAGUAUAGCUCAGUGGUAGAGCAGCUGUGCAAAGUCCUGGGUUCAAUCCCCAGCACUGCUA